rnacentral:rRNA from 1 species
UACGUAGGGUGCGAGCGUUAAUCGGAAUUACUGGGCGUAAAGGGCGCGUAGGCGGUGUGUCAAGUCAGGCGUGAAAGCCCCGGGCUCAACCUGGGAACCGCGCUUGAGACUGGCACGCUAGAGUUCGGGAGAGGAUGGUGGAAUUCCCAGUGUAGAGGUGAAAUUCGUAGAUAUUGGGAAGAACACCAGUGGCGAAGGCGGCUCACUGGACUGGUAUUGACGCUGAGGUGCGAAAGCGUGGGGAGCAAACAGG